GAUGAACGCUGGCGGCGUGCUUAACACAUGCAAGUCGAACGGUGAAGCAGGAGCUUGCUCUUGUGGAUCAGUGGCGAACGGGUGAGUAACACGUGAGCAACCUGCCCCUGACUCUGGGAUAAGCGCUGGAAACGGCGUCUAAUACUGGAUAUGUGAUGUGACCGCAUGGUCUGCAUCUGGAAAGAAUUUCGGUUGGGGAUGGGCUCGCGGCCUAUCAGCUUGUUGGUGAGGUAAUGGCUCACCAAGGCGUCGACGGGUAGCCGGCCUGAGAGGGUGACCGGCCACACUGGGACUGAGACACGGCCCAGACUCCUACGGGAGGCAGCAGUGGGGAAUAUUGCACAAUGGGCGGAAGCCUGACGCAGCGACGCCGCGUGAGGGAUGAAGGCCUUCGGGUCGUAAACCUCUUUUGACUGGGAAGCACCCGCAAGGGUGGACGGUACCAGUAGAAUAAGCACCUGCUAACCAUGUGCCAGCCGCCGCGGUAA
rnacentral:rRNA from 1 species